rnacentral:rRNA from 1 species
AGCUCCAAUAGCAUAAAUUAAAGUUGUUGCAGUUAAAAAGCUCAUAGUUGGAUUUCUGGCAGGAGCGACCGGUCACACACUCUGUGUGUGAACUUGUGUUGUCUCUGGCCAUCCUUGGGGAGAUCCUGUUUGACAUUAAGUUGUCGGGCAGGGGAUACCCAUCGUUUACUGUGAACAAAAUUGAGUGUUUAAAGUAGGCGUAUGCCGUUGAAUAUAUUAGCAUGGAAUAAUAAGAUAGGACUUCGGAACUAUUUUGUUGGUUUGCGUUACAAAGUAAUGAUUAAUAUGGACAGUUGGGGGUAUUCGUAUUUUGUUGUCAGAGGUGAAAUUCUUUGAUUUCCGAAAGACGAACUACUGCGAAAGCAUUUACCAAGGAUGUUUUCA